rnacentral:rRNA from 1 species
UACGGAGGAUCCAAGCGUUAUCCGGAUUCAUUGGGUUUAAAGGGUGCGUAGGCGGAUUUGUAAGUCAGCGGUGAAAUCCUACAGCUUAACUGUAGAACUGCCGUUGAUACUGCAAGUCUUGAGUACAUUUGAUGUGGGCGGAAUGUGUCAUGUAGCGGUGAAAUGCUUAGAUAUGACACGGAACACCAAUUGCGAAGGCAGCUCACAAAACUGUAACUGACGCUGAGGCACGACAGCGUGGGGAUCAAACAGG